rnacentral:rRNA from 1 species
CGAGUACGACCCGUUACGACGGGGAAGUGUCUGAUGUCAGGCUUCCAAGAAAAGCCCGAACCACGUUAAUUCAAAUUGGCCCGUACCCUAAACCGACACAGGUGGGAAGGUAGGGUAUACCCAGGGGCGCGAGAUAACUCUCUCUAAGGAACUCGGCAAAAUGGCCCCGUAACUUCGGGAGAAGGGGUGCCACCGAGAGGUGGUCGCAGUGAAGAGUCCCAGGCGACUGUUUACCAAAAACACAGGUCUCCGCUAAGUCGCAAGACGAUGUAUGGGGGCUGACGCCUGCCCAGUGCCGGAAGGUUAAGGAAGUUGGUCAGGGAGCAAUCCUGAAGCUAGCGACUGAAGCCCCGGUGAACGGCGGCCGUAACUAUAACGGUCCUAAGGUAGCGAAAUUCCUUGUCGGUUAAGUUCCGACCCGCACGAAAGGCGUAACGAUCUGGGAGCUGUCUCGGAGAGAGGCUCGGCGAAAUAGGAAUGUCUGUGAAGAUACGGACUACCUGCACCCGGACAGAAAGACCCUAUGAAGCUUUACUGUAGCUUGGUAUUGGGUUCGGGCUUUGAUUGCGCAGGAUAGGUGGGAGACUAUGAGAUAGCUCUUGUGGGAGUUAUGGAGUCACUGGUGAGAUACCACUCUAUCAAGGCUAGAAUUCUAACUUUGACCCGUUAUCCGGGCAGAGAACAGUAUCAGGUGGGCAGUUUGACUGGGGCGGUCGCCUCCUAAAUGGUAACGGAGGCGCGCAAAGGUUCCCUCAGGCUGGUUGGAAAUCAGCCAUUGAGUGUAAAGGCAUAAGGGAGCUUGACUGCGAGACUGACAAGUCGAGCAGGUACGAAAGUAGGCCUUCGUGAUCCGACGGUUCCGCGUGGAAGGGCCGUCGCUCAACGGAUAAAAGUUACUCUAAGGAUAACAGGCUGAUCUGCCCCAAGAGUUCACAUCGACGGGGAGGUUUGGCACCUCGAUGUCGGCUCAUCGCAACCUGGGGCUGUAGUCGGUCCCAAGGGUUGGGCUGUUCGCCCAUUAAAGCGGUACGUGAGCUGGGUUCAGAACGUCGUGAGACAGUUCGGUCCAUAUCCGGUGCAGGCGUAGGAACAUUGAGAGGAGUCUUCCUUAGUACGAGAGGACCGGGAAGAACGCACCGCUGGUGUACCUGUUAUCGUGCCAACGGUAAACGCAGGGUAGCCAAGUGCGGAGAGGAUAACCGCUGAAAGCAUCUAAGUGGGAAGCCCACCUCAAGAUGAGUUUUCCCAUGGCAAAAGCCAGUAAGGUCACGGGUAGACCACCCGUUAAUAGGCGCUAGAUGGAAGUCCAGCAAUGGAUGUAGUCGAGGCGUACUAACAGACCGAGGGCUUGAC